CGAGGAACAUGUGACCUCCAUGGUGUUCACUGCUAGACGGUGUGGCAAGGAGGGGUACCUUCUGCGGCGAUCUUUCUUGGGGAACCCUGGGCAACCGUCAUUCAGGUCUCCUACUAAAGAUCCUCCUCGCCACCACGAGUGCACGCCAUGUCUUCCACCCUGACAUUGGCCACUUAUGGAGGUUGAUUGAUUUGGUUGGUUCGAUAGGAUCCCAACCUGAGGAGAAUGAUGGUUUGGAGAUGGCUAGCAGCCUGUGGGGCAUCGACCAGACUGGCAGCGCUUCCAGGAAGGAGAGGCUUGGGGGCCUCGUGGAUUGGGAAGAUGGCGGCCACCCGGGUUUCUUCGAUCGAUCUGCGAUCUGGACAGGGCCAUGGCAACGCGGGCGUCGGGCGUAGGCGACCGACCCUCUGCAGCCACGCGUUGACAGUUACCUGUCGAGACUAUAAGAAGAAUUUUGAGGAAGAAUUUGAUCAAGAAGACCAAGAGAGAUGGUUUGCUUUGGAGAGGAAUUAGAUAAGGCCCAUGAGUCCUAAAGAUAAUACAAUCAAUCCAACUGUUAAUUUUGGUGUGCUUUUUGGACGGACUAAUAUGAAGACGCUGGCUAGCUCGCAUUGCCAUCAUAUAGUCUAGAAGCAAGGGCAAGGAUUAUAGGGAAAAUGAAGAUCAAAGAUAUCUCAGAAGCUAUCUCCCCGGAAGCUCCUGUAAACUGAAUAUCCACUGCUGCUGCUACUGAGCUGCGCUACUGAUGUGAUUGAUUGUGAAUUUGUCUUCAGGGUUGUAUCAGCAUGUUGAUAGGUGUAAUCAACAAUUUUCAGAAAACAAAAUCAAAUGCAGACUUGAGUAUUACCUGAGGGCGCACUGGAAAGGCUUCCAGAGCUAGGAGAAGAAACGGUUGAAGAAGAUAUGGUCUUAGGUGUUUCAUAGGCAUCAGGUGUAAGAGUGCACGAAUGACAGUUUGCCCUUUGAAACGACGUACGCCGUACAGAAGCUUGGAAUGCAUUCAGAGAUUUUUGUUGAAGUCUUGCUUCCUUUGAGCUUCCUGCAAACAAUCAACAAUGGUAGCCACACGAUUAAGAUUGCACUAGGCAAUUCUUAUCCUAUAUUGUACUGGGUUUUAUUCUUUAUAAAAAUUGUUCAGCCUAAAUUUUCUGCAAAUUUCCAUAUUGAACUUGGAACCAAGUAGUUGCAGUGCAACCUUCAGUGUUAGGCUGGUAGCUGGGGAAUUAAAUGAGAAGACAAUGAUAAUCCUACCAAAUGCUUUUCUCACUAUAUAUCACAGUGCUCCAGCUAAUCAUCCUAAAAGUUUUCCAAGACGUAUAGUGGUAACAUUAGACACUACCAACAUCAAACGUGGUGUAGAACUGAAAUUAGUAUGACAGAGAGAACUAAUAAAGGGGUGAAAGUUUCUUAUGACAGUAAUAUCGUCCGUUUUCGUCCGACCAGUUUCGUAAGUUGUCCUUGGUCAUCCGUAUAUGUUUCUGCUUGGUAAGUUAUGUGGGAUAAAAUUCGAAUUUCUGUUAUGGGCCACUGAAAAAUUGCCCCAUGUGCUAAUCUUUUGGACUUCUUUUGUAAUUAAUAGUCUCACC